AAGGGCUAAUCUUCGCAGUUGCAAAAGAACAGAGUAAGAUGGACAUUUCAAAUGCAGCUUGAAUGUUAAAAAGCCAUUCAGCCAAUGUGGCGAUAUCAAUGUCCAAAGUCAAGAAAACGGACUGUCUGCAAAUUGGAGGUUGUAGAUUUCAAGGAGUACAACAUCAGUGAGCUGUACGCUGCAAGCAAUUACAC